UUCAGCUCAUGUACGCUCUUUGGUUGGCGGUUUAGUGUCUGUGAGCUCCCAAGAGUCCAGGUUAGUUGAUUUUGUUGGUCUUCCUGUGGAGUUCCUAAUCCCUCUGGGUCCCUCAGUCCUUUCCCAACUCUUCCACAAGACUCCAGAGCUCUGUCCAGUGUUUGGCUGUGGGUCUCUGAACCUGUUUCAGUAGCUGCUAGGUGGAACCUCUUGGAAGAAGCUAUUCUAGGAUCCUGUCUGCGAGCAUAACAGAGUAUCAUUAAUAGUGUCAAGGACGGGUUCUUGCCUAUGGGAUAGGUCUCAAUUUGGGCAAUCUCUGCUCCAUCCUUGUCCCUGCCCAUCUUGUAGGCAGGGCACAUUUUGCAUCAAAGGCUUUGUUGGUUGGUGCCCUUAUCCCUCCACUGGAAGUUCUGCCUGGCUACAGGAGGUGACUACUUCAGAGUCCAUUUUGCACACUGCUAUGAGUCUCAGAGUCACCUCCAUAGACACCCUGGAGUCGCCUGCAUCUUAGAGAUGCUCCCACCCCAGUGGCUGAUUUAUUUUCACUCUUCUGGCCCCUCUCUGCAUCUCCGCACACCUGAGCCACUCUAUUCCUCUUCCCAUUCCUGCUUGUAGAGAGCGGCGCAGUGAAACAAAGAUGGCGCCGACAUCCAGCCUUGUCUGGAUAUAAACGACUUACUGCGCAUGUGCAGGCUUGUCCCCUUGCUAGGGCUCCCUCUAGUGGUGAACAGCGGUACUGCACAUGUGCAGUUUAUGCACCAGGUGUUAGUUGACCGUUAAUAUGCUAAUGAGGUGAUUCAUUCUCCGCCAAUCCCUGGAGGACAAGUAGUGGGGUGAUCCAAGCCCCACCAAUCCCUGAGAGAUAAUUAGCAUACUGUUGUCUAUAUAAGCCGAGUGAUUUUGCUGCUCAGGGUCCCUGUUCAAGAGAGCUGUAACACUAAGAGAGCUGUAACACUAAGAAGAGCUGUAACACAGUAAAGGCUUGCUCGCAGAAGAAUCCUGUUGCCGCGCGUCGUUCUUGCUGGCGGGACAUUGGGCGCUCGACAAGUGGUGCCGAAACCCGGAAACCAACAUCGCCAGUGCCGAGGGGACCCUUCAGUGUGCUGAAGAGGAUUCAGAACUGCGAGAAGGUAAAUUAAAAGGUUGUUCAGGGAGCUGAAGUCUGGAGUCUGUCUCGUCAAAAUUGUUGACCAUUUUCACCAUUAGGAGGCUCCUCUGCCUACAAGAAAGGUGGCUGUUCCCUGGAGUGAACCUUCCUGGACAAUAAUCCAAGACACAACCACAGCUGACAAGUCAUAAAGUCCUCAGAGUACGUGAUCCCCUAUUCAAGGAAAGAUUGGUUAUAGGUGCAGGGAGUCAUCUCGGGAGGCAGAAGCACGUGUUGGAUCCUCUGGAACUAUAGUUGAAGACGGUCGUUAGCUAUCACAUAGGUUCUGGGAACUGAGCCCAGGUUAUCUAGAAGAACAUGUAAUGCUCAUAACUACUGAGCCAUUUCUCUAGCCCCAUCUAUGGUCACAUGUACAUGUAUAACGAAUUCAUGCUGAAAUUUGAACGACAAAUCUUAGUUCUCAGAUGUGGAUUUUCUAGUUGACUCUGAGACAGAAAUACUGCUUGCAGGAAGUUUAUGGGGAUUCAUUUAGGAUUAGGGUCAACGAUUGAAGAUAGACAAUCACUGUGGCUUCAGAUCUCACAGGGCUCACUGGAGGCGGGAUAUACCUGCACAGAUGUUCCAAGCUGGAGGAAAGGUGAAUUUUUGCCACAUGUUCUCUGUUUGACCUCUCUCUCUAGGACUCCUCAAGUCCAUUAGGUGUGGACUAGCUCCAGAAAGGAGGCAUGUUGUUGCUGCCGUAACUCCUAUCUAGUGCCCCGUUACAAUUCCCAGAAGCAUGAAAUCUAAGCUGCUUGGUACCAAUAGGACUCACUAAAAUCUGCUUGAGGCUGACAGACGCCUACAGGUGCACUGGGUGCCCACUGUGUCAUGUGAAGAUCCGCCUGCACAGUACCGUACUUGAGAUGGGUGGGAGAGAGGAACAGGAAGUUAGAGAAGAAAAAGUCUGUCUAGUGAAAACACUGAAAUGCACCGCAAUUGCGCAUCGAUACAGCCAGCUCAGCGGGUGUAGAGGCGCAGGCCUCUGAUCUACGUUGGAGGUGAGCAGCCAGCACGGGAAUCCCCAGUUUGAGGUCAGCCUGGCCACAUGGCAAGACCCUGUCUCAGAAAAUUAAAAUGUUUCAAAUGCUUUGAGAGUAGAAAUAUGAUGAAAAAUUCACACUUUUACCUGGAGAAGCUGCCUUCUGAGACCUUCCAUGACCCAGUUUUCUGGAUUAUCCUUGCUUUUCAGGGUAGAAUGUUUUCCUUUGUGGGUACUAUAGAGAUGAAAUGGUCAGUAAAAGAGAACUUAUGGU